rnacentral:tRNA from 1 species
GGGGAUUUAGCUUAGUGGUAGAGCGCUUGCCUAGCAAGUGCAAGGCCCUGGGUUCGAUCCCCAGCUCUG